rnacentral:rRNA from 1 species
GGUUNUGGAUGAGUGGCGAACGGGUGAGUAACACGUGAGUAACCUGCCCCCUUCUUCUGGAUAACCGCAUGAAAGUGUGGCUAAUACGGGAUAUUCUGUGNCUGNNGCAUGGUGGGNNUGGGAAAGAUGCGCCUUUGGGUGUUUUUGGUGGGGGAUGGGCUCGCGGCCUAUCAGCUUGUUGGUGGGGUGAUGGCCUACCAAGGCGGUGACGGGUAGCCGGCCUGAGAGGGUGGACGGUCACACUGGGACUGAGACACGGCCCAGACUCCUACGGGAGGCAGCAGUGGGGAAUAUUGCACAAUGGGCGCAAGCCUGAUGCAGCGACGCCGCGUGAGGGAUGGAGGCCUUCGGGUUGUAAACCUCUUUCGCCAGUGAAGCAGGCCUGUCCCUUUUGUGGGUGGGUUGACGGUAGCUGGAUAAGAAGCGCCGGCUAACUACGUGCCAGCAGCCGCGGUAAUACGUAGGGCGCGAGCGUUGUCCGGAAUUAUUGGGCGUAAAGAGCUCGUAGGCGGCUGGUCGCGUCUGUCGUGAAAUCCUCUGGCUUAACUGGGGGCUUGCGGUGGGUACGGGCCGGCUUGAGUGCGGUAGGGGAGACUGGAACUCCUGGUGUAGCGGUGGAAUGCGCAGAUAUCAGGAAGAACACCGGUGGCGAAGGCGGGUCUCUGGGCCGUUACUGACGCUGAGGAGCGAAAGCGUGGGGAGCGAACAGGAUUAGAUACCCUGGUAGUCCACGCCGUAAACNUUGGGCACUAGGUGUGGGGGGCCUUUUCCGGGUCUUCCGCGCCGUAGCUAACGCAUUAAGUGCCCCGCCUGGGGAGUACGGCCGCAAGGCUAAAACUCAAAGGAAUUGACGGGGGCCCGCACAAGCGGCGGAGCAUGCGGAUUAAUUCGAUGCAACGCGAAGAACCUUACCAAGGCUUGACAUGUGCCGGUCGGCUCCGGAGACGGGUUUCCUCCUUGUGGGGCCGGUUCACAGGUGGUGCAUGGUUGUCGUCAGCUCGUGUCGUGAGAUGUUGGGUUAAGUCCCGCAACGAGCGCAACCCUUGUCCCGUGUUGCCAGCACGUUGUGGUGGGGACUCGCGGGAGACUGCCGGGGUCAACUCGGAGGAAGGUGGGGAUGACGUCAAAUCAUCAUGCCCCUUAUGUCUUGGGCUUCACGCAUGCUACAAUGGCCGGUACAGAGGGCUGCGAUACCGUGAGGUGGAGCGAAUCCCUUAAAGCCGGUCUCAGUUCGGAUCGGUGUCUGCAACUCGACACCGUGAAGUUGGAGUCGCUAGUAAUCGCAGAUCAGCAACGCUGCGGUGAAUACGUUCUCGGGCCUUGUACACACCGCCCGUCACGUCAUGAAAGUCGGCAACACCCGAAGCCCGU